GACGAACGCUGGCGGCGUGCUUAACACAUGCAAGUCGAACGGUGAAGCUCCAGCUUGCUGGAGUGGAUCAGUGGCGAACGGGUGAGUAACACGUGAGCAACCUGCCCCUGACUCUGGAAUAAGCGCUGGAAACGGCGUCUAAUACUGGAUACGAGAAGGGUCCGCAUGGGCACUUUCUGGAAAGUUUUUCGGUUGGGGAUGGGCUCGCGGCCUAUCAGCUUGUUGGUGAGGUAAUGGCUCACCAAGGCGACGACGGGUAGCCGGCCUGAGAGGGCGACCGGCCACACUGGGACUGAGACACGGCCCAGACUCCUACGGGAGGCUGCAGUGGGGAAUAUUGCACAAUGGGCGAAAGCCUGAUGCAGCGACGCCGCGUGAGGGAUGACGGCCUUCGGGUUGUAAACCUCUUUCAGCAGGGAAGAAGCGAAAGUGACGGUACCUGCAGAAGAAGCACCGGCUAACUACGUG
rnacentral:rRNA from 1 species